AUUGAACGCUGGCGGCAGGCCUAACACAUGCAAGUCGAGCGGGGCGGCGGACGGACGAGUAAUGCCUAGGAAUCUGCCUGGUCGAGGGGGAUGGGGUCCUGAAACGGGCGGUAAUACCGCAUACUAUCAGAUGAGACUAGUCCGGAUUAGCUAGUUGGUGGGGUAAAGGCUUACCAAGGCGACGAUCCGUAACUGGUCUGAGAGGAUGAUCAGUCACACUGGAACUGAGACACGGUCCAGACUCCUACGGGAGGCAGCAGUGGGGAAUAUUGGACAAUGGGCGAAAGCCUGAUCCAGCCAUGCCGCGUGUGUGAAGAAGGUCUUCGGAUUGUAAAGCACUUUAAGUUGGGAGGCGUUACCAACAGAAUAAGCACCGGCUAACUUCGUGCCAGCCGCCGCGGUAAUAC
rnacentral:rRNA from 1 species